GGGCAGCAACACUAUUUUGGCACUCUCUUUUAAUAUCUCGCUUUUAUACUACCAGAAAACAGAAUAGUGACAUUUAAUGGUAAACUUCAAAAUGUACAUUCCAAAAUGCCAAGAAAAAGGAUAACAUUUUUCUCAAGUGAGCAACAAAACUAUUGCUUUUGAAAGCAAGACUUUCACCUUUUCUCAAUGAUGGAGGCAGGGAGGUUGCCAAUCAAGAAAUUCUUGAUUUAAAGUUUGAAUCAAGAUAACACCCAAUGCAACAAAAGGUUGUAGAAAGCAAAACAUACUAACCAUGAAAACAAC
rnacentral:misc_RNA from 1 species